rnacentral:rRNA from 1 species
UACGUAGGUGGCAAGCGUUAUCCGGAUUUAUUGGGCGUAAAGGGAACGCAGGCGGUCUUUUAAGUCUAAUGUGAAAGCCUUCGGCUUAACCGGAGUAGUGCAUUGGAAACUGGGAGACUUGAGUGCAGAAGAGGAGAGUGGAACUCCAUGUGUAGCGGUGAAAUGCGUAGAUAUAUGGAAGAACACCAGUGGCGAAAGCGGCUCUCUGGUCUGUAACUGACGCUGAGGGUCGAAAGCGUGGGUCGCAAACAGG